rnacentral:rRNA from 1 species
UCUUCCCUCCGUCGGCGUGCCUAAUACAUGCAAGUCGAGCGAACAGAUGAGGAGCUUGCUCCUCUGACGUUAGCGGCGGACGGGUGAGUAACACGUGGAUAACCUACCUAUAAGACUGGGAUAACUUCGGGAAACCGGAGCUAAUACCGGAUAAUAUAUUGAACCGCAUGGUUCAAUAGUGAAAGACGGUUUUGCUGUCACUUAUAGAUGGAUCCGCGCCGCAUUAGCUAGUUGGUAAGGUAACGGCUUACCAAGGCAACGAUGCGUAGCCGACCUGAGAGGGUGAUCGGCCACACUGGAACUGAGACACGGUCCAGACUCCUACGGGAGGCAGCAGUAGGGAAUCUUCCGCAAUGGGCGAAAGCCUGACGGAGCAACGCCGCGUGAGUGAUGAAGGUCUUCGGAUCGUAAAACUCUGUUAUUAGGGAAGAACAAAUGUGUAAGUAACUAUGCACGUCUUGACGGUACCUAAUCAGAAAGCCACGGCUAACUACGUG